UCUCUGCUACUUUCAUUAUGUUUGUGGUAUUUGUUUGUCAAAUACACGCUCAGAUCCAGUCAGCUGAGUCAGUCCGGGAAUGUGGUUGCCACGGUGAUGCUAUGAAGUCAAACUGGUCUAAGGUGUUUUGUAUGAAACAGCUGACAAGGAAAUACAGGUUAGAUUGUUCACUGGGGCUGUUUAGUGCAGCCAGAGACCAAAUCACUAUCGUCAAAGUUUGUUUCCUUUCUUUUUUCUAUUUGCUCUCAGUGGAUAAUUUUCCAUCCUGAUGAUCAGACGAGUGUUUGAGGGUUUCAGAGAUCCUUCAGAACAACAUGAUGGGUCUGAUCCUAUGACAACUGGGAUAGGCUCCGCCUGUGACCCUGAUAAGGACCGGCUGAAGAGAAUGGAUGGAUGGAAGUGACAGAAACACGUACCCAGACGGGAACAUUGUGUCUGAGCCCAAACACUGAAACACAGAAAUAUGUUCAGACUGUGGCUUAAAGUUUCUGCUUCACCAGUAACAUGAGAUC